rnacentral:rRNA from 1 species
GACGAACGCUGGCGGCGUGCCUAAUACAUGCAAGUUGAGCGCUGAAGGUUGGUACUUGUACCGACUGGCUGAGCAGCGAACGGGUGAGUAACGCGUGGGGAAUCUGCCUUUGAGCGGGGGACAACAUUUGGAAACGAAUGCUAAUACCGCAUAAAAACUUUAAACACAAGUUUUAAGUUUGAAAGAUGCAAUUGCAUCACUCAAAGAUGAUCCCGCGUUGUAUUAGCUAGUUGGUGAGGUAAAGGCUCACCAAGGCGAUGAUACAUAGCCGACCUGAGAGGGUGAUCGGCCACAUUGGGACUGAGACACGGCCCAAACUCCUACGGGAGGCAGCAGUAGGGAAUCUUCGGCAAUGGACGAAAGUCUGACCGAGCAACGCCGCGUGAGUGAAGAAGGUUUUCGGAUCGUAAAACUCUGUUGGUAGAGAAGAACGUUGGUGAGAGUGGAAAGCUCAUCAAGUGACGGUAACUACACAGAAAGGGACGGCUAACUACGUG